CCCCCUAAAACAUAGUGAGCGCCAUGAUGGUAGAUGGAGAAGACGGAGGAAGAGCUUCACAAAGAGCUCUUUGAAGUCAAUCGAUAACAAUAUUACUAAGAGACUUAAGGAUCAUAGAGGUAUUUAACGCGGUGGAUUUGCUGGUGGCGAAAGCGGUGGUCCUCAGAAACUACAAAUGGCGGUCAACAAUGAGAGAGGAAUGAUGCAGAGGAUCAACCAUCAUCUAAAAAACAUACUUCUUCUGCUGUUAUGAAGAAUUCAAAUUAUAGAGGGGAGAUCGCUGAGGAUGUAUCUGGAGCUCCAACAGAUACAAAUAAGGAAAAUGUUGCUAUGGAGCCAAGUCCAAGGGAGCUACCUGUCAGCCAGAAUAAGAGAAAGGCAUCAAAUUGGCUCCGGAGAGAUGGCUAUAAAAGGCCAUAAAAAAUGGAUUUUGAUACCUCCACCAGAUCCUGUGCCUAGAGUGUUUCCCAAAAAAUGAGGAUCCUAAAUUAUUAGCAGUAAUAAAAGAAUGCUGGGAAAGCUAUAGGGGACCUUGGAGG